GCUUGUGGCACAUGAGAGAACCUGUCAUUAAAUUGAUCUCAGAGUUGAAGCAGAGAAAAUGAACCAGUCAGACCCUGACCCUUCCAUAAGAUUGUCGGAGCAAUGGCAUUUCUGCAGUGUUGCACAUGCGAGCUGAUCCACCCCUACUCUCAGAGGUACAACAAUCCUGCUUCAGCUAUAAAGGGCAAAAUGGGCAGACCUGAUGAUUUGGAGCUAGAGGUCAAGGGAGAGGAGCCUCCUCAUAUACUCGCCAGCAACUUUUUUACAUGUGAUAAUGUCAGAAUAUCCAGCCAAGGAGAGUUGGAGAUGGAGCCAAAGAGGAGACAGGCAUUGGCAAAGAUGGACAGAUGAAUCGGGAGUGGUUGAAACCAUUCAAAUCAAAUCAACAAGCUAUUGUGUGCAGGGCACUGGGAGAGAUACCGAAACAAAGUAGAGGUCAUGAUCUCUACCCUCAAGAAACUUAACAGUGUGCUUGAGAGCAAAGGAAGAAAUUUUCACCACCUGCAAAAUUCUCCUGGAAAGUGAAAAUGUUUAAAACUAUAGGGAUCUGUGAGUUAUUAGUAACCUUUUGGAGGCUCCAUCCCACUUAAGGAUCAACAAAAAAGAUUCAUCAAAAAGAAGUGUCAACAUCACUGGUACUUAGCUCAUAUUACAUAGCUAACUUUCCUCUACUCAGCAAACUUUUAUUCUCCAGGAG